rnacentral:rRNA from 1 species
GAUGAACGCUGGCGGCGUGCCUAAUACAUGCAAGUCGAGCGAACAGAUAAGGAGCUUGCUCCUUUGACGUUAGCGGCGGACGGGUGAGUAACACGUGGGUAACCUACCUAUAAGACUGGAAUAACUCCGGGAAACCGGGGCUAAUGCCGGAUAACAUUUAGAACCGCAUGGUUCUAAAGUGAAAGAUGGUUUUGCUAUCACUUAUAGAUGGACCCGCGCCGUAUUAGCUAGUUGGUAAGGUAACGGCUUACCAAGGCAACGAUACGUAGCCGACCUGAGAGGGUGAUCGGCCACACUGGAACUGAGACACGGUCCAGACUCCUACGGGAGGCAGCAGUAGGGAAUCUUCCGCAAUGGGCGAAAGCCUGACGGAGCAACGCCGCGUGAGUGAUGAAGGUCUUCGGAUCGUAAAACUCUGUUAUUAGGGAAGAACAAAUGUGUAAGUAACUGUGCACGUCUUGACGGUGCCUAAUCAGAAAGCCACGGCUAACUACGUG